GCGGGGAUGCUUUACACAUGCAAGUCGAACGGCAGCGCUAGAGAGCUUGCUCUCUUGGCGGCGAGUGGCGGACGGGUGAGUAAUAUAUCGGAACGUGCCCAGUAGCGGGGGAUAACUACUCGAAAGAGUGGCUAAUACCGCAUACGCCCUACGGGGGAAAGGGGGGGAUCGCAAGACCUCUCACUAUUGGAGCGGCCGAUAUCGGAUUAGCUAGUUGGUGGGGUAAAGGCUCACCAAGGCAACGAUCCGUAGCUGGUUUGAGAGGACGACCAGCCACACUGGGACUGAGACACGGCCCAGACUCCUACGGGAGGCAGCAGUGGGGAAUUUUGGACAAUGGGGGAAACCCUGAUCCAGCCAUCCCGCGUGUAUGAUGAAGGCCUUCGGGUUGUAAAGUACUUUUGGCAGAGAAGAAAAGGUACCUCCUAAUACGAGGUACUGCUGACGGUAUCUGCAGAAUAAGCACCGGCUAACUACGUGCCAGCAGCCGCGGUAAUACGUAGGGUGCAAGCGUUAAUCGGAAUUACUGGGCGUAAAGCGUGUGUAGGCGGUUCGGAAAGAAAGAUGUGAAAUCCCAGGGCUCAACCUUGGAACUGCAUUUUUAACUGCCGAGCUAGAGUAUGUCAGAGGGGGGUAGAAUUCCACGUGUAGCAGUGAAAUGCGUAGAUAUGUGGAGGAAUACCGAUGGCGAAGGCAGCCCCCUGGGAUAAUACUGACGCUCAGACACGAAAGCGUGGGGAGCAAACAGGAUUAGAU
rnacentral:rRNA from 1 species